AGUGAACGCUGGCGGUAGGCCUAACACAUGCAAGUCGAACGGCAGCACAGGAGAGCUUGCUCUCUGGGUGGCGAGUGGCGGACGGGUGAGGAAUACAUCAGAAUCUACUCUGUCGUGGGGGAUAACGUAGGGAAACUUACGCUAAUACCGCAUACGACCUACGGGUGAAAGCAGGGGACCUUCGGGCCUUGCGCGAUUGAAUGAGCCGAUGUCGGAUUAGCUAGUUGGCGGGGUAAAGGCCCACCAAGGCGACGAUCCGUAGCUGGUCUGAGAGGAUGAUCAGCCACACUGGAACUGAGACACGGUCCAGACUCCUACGGGAGGCAGCAGUGGGGAAUAUUGGACAAUGGGCGCAAGCCUGAUCCAGCCAUACCGCGUGGGUGAAGAAGGCCUUCGGGUUGUAAAGCCCUUUUGUUGGGAAAGAAAUCCAGCUGGCUAAUACCCGGUUGGGAUGACGGUACCCAAAGAAUAAGCACCGGCUACCUUCGUGCCAGCCGCCGCAGUAA
rnacentral:rRNA from 1 species